rnacentral:rRNA from 1 species
AGAGUUUGAUCCUGGCUCAGAUUGAACGCUGGCGGCAGGCCUAACACAUGCAAGUCGAACGGUAGCACAGAGAGCUUGCUCUCGGGUGACGAGUGGCGGACGGGUAAGUAAUGUCUGGGAAACUGCCCGAUGGAGGGGGAUAACUACUGGAAACGGUAGCUAAUACCGCAUAACGUCGCAAGACCAAAGUGGGGGACCUUCGGGCCUCACACCAUCGGAUGUGCCCAGAUGGGAUUAGCUAGUAGGUGGGGUAAUGGCUCACCUAGGCGACGAUCCCUAGCUGGUCUGAGAGGAUGACCAGCCACACUGGAACUGAGACACGGUCCAGACUCCUACGGGAGGCAGCAGUGGGGAAUAUUGCACAAUGGGCGCAAGCCUGAUGCAGCCAUGCCGCGUGUAUGAAGAAGGCUUCGGGUUGUAAAGUACUUUCAGCGGGGAGGAAGGCGGUGGAGUUAAUAACUUCACCGAUUGACGUUACCCGCAGAAGAAGCACCGGCUAACUCCGUGCCAGCAGCCGCGGUAAUAC